AGAGGUUAUCAACAAAUUAUAAGUUUACGGGUACCAUGAGGAUUUUUCAUGCAUUUAAACGACAGAAGUACAAGCGAACAGAUGACACAUUAAAGUGGCUGCAGAAGCUUGAAAAGUUAGAUAGAGCAGGGGCAGUCAAAACUGUGGGAUAAUACUUCUAUGGUGUCCAACAUGUCUAGUCAGGUUGACAGAAGUGAAAGAUGGUCUGAUGGUACAAUGAUGUACAAAUGAUACUCUUUAACAAGUUUAACAUGUCAAGGUGUAAAAUGUUCUGUGGAUUCAUAUGAUGAGAAUGCCAAUGUUGAUCUGUAUGACUUAAUUAAACACAGAUAUUGAUACCUUCAGAUAUAUACCUGUGAAAUCUUCAGUGUCACCGUUCAGCUAUUGUUCAAGGUCAGUGUCUGCAGCUUGCACAGUUUAGUAUAGAGGAGACUUCUGAAUCAAUUUUGUUACAUAUUUGCUGUUAUUGUAGAACACACAUGUGGAGAGCAACAAGUCCUGUCCAACUGUGCAUGUAAAUGUGAUUCAGAAACUUUGAGAAUAUGUAAACAUUACACUGUUAUAAUUUUCAAAAUACUGUGUCUUGUAGUGUAUCAGUACUGUUUUAACUCAGUUUAUAGCACAGUAUGUU
rnacentral:lncRNA from 1 species